GAGGGUAUAGCUCAGUGGUAGAGCAUGUGCUUAGCAUGCACGAGGUCCUGGGUUCAAUCCCCAGUACCUCCU
rnacentral:tRNA from 1 species